rnacentral:rRNA from 1 species
GACGAACCGUCCAAACGUUGUUCGGAAUCACUGGGCUUAAAGGGCGCGUAGGCGGGCUAUCAAGUCCGGGGUGAAAUCCUCCAGCUUAACUGGAGAACGGCCUCGGAUACUGAUGGUCUCGAGGGGGGGUAGGGGCACGCGGAACUGUGGGUGGAGCGGUGAAAUGCGUUGAUAUCCAUAGGAACUCCGGUGGCGAAGGCGACUUCCUGGCCUGUUCUUGACGCUGAGGCGCGAAAGCUAGGGGAGCAAACGGG